AGUUCGGAUUGAAGGCUGAAAUUCGCCUUCAUGAAGUCGGAAUUGCUAGUAAUGGCAGGUCAGCAUACUGCCGUGAAUACGCUCCCGGGCCUUGUACACACCGCCCGUCACACCAUGAGAGUUGGAGAUACCCGAAGCCUAUGAGCUAACUUUUAGAGGCAGUAGUCGAAGGUAGAAUCAAUGAUUGGGGUGAAGUCGUAACAAGGUAUC
rnacentral:rRNA from 1 species